AGUUUAGGUGUCAGACCACCAAUUAAAAGUCCCUAUCUGUUCAACCAAAUUUUGCAAUUUUCAUAGCUUUCUAAAUUUUUUAUCUUAAGUUUAACCUCUUACAAACCAGGUAUGUCCUGAAUCGUACAGGUAUCACCUUUCGUCAUGCCAAUUUUCAGCAUACCUUUAAAGCCAUAUAAGAAAAAAGAGACCUUCCGAAUGGAUGUACCACUAAAAAUAACC
rnacentral:lncRNA from 1 species